UUACCGGCAGUAGAGGAGUAUUCCAG
rnacentral:misc_RNA from 1 species